CCUACGGGAGGCAGCAGUGGGGAAUAUUGCACAAUGGGGGAAACCCUGAUGCAGCGACGCCGCGUGAGUGAAGAAGUAAUUCGUUAUGUAAAGCUCUAUCAGCAGGGAAGAAAAUGACGGUACCUGAGUAAUAAGCCCCGGCUAACUACGUGCCAGCAGCCGCGGUAAUACGUAGGGGGCAAGCGUUAGCCGGAUUUACUGGGGGUAAAGGGAGCGUAGACGGCAGUGCAAGUCUGGAAUGAAAGGCGGGGGGUCAACCCCCGGACUGCUCUGGAUACUGGACGGCUGGAGUGCGAGAGAGGUAAGUGGAAUUCCUAGUGUAGCGGUGAAAUGCGUAGAUAUUAGGAGGAACACCAGUGGCGAAGGCGGCUUACUGGACUGUAACUGACGUUGAGGCACGAAAGCGUGGGGAGCAAACAGGAUUAGAUACCCCAGUAGUC
rnacentral:rRNA from 1 species